UAGUAGUGGAGAAGUCAAGACAUAAAAGAAGCGACACCUGAAAAGCACUGAAAGGAAACAAAACAGGACAAAAAGCACUUUCUUACGGAAAAGAUACCAUCCUCUUUGUGACGGGUUUUCCUCACUGAAGUGACAGCAAUGUAAUUGUCUUUUUUUACAGAUGACACUAACUGCACUCUGAAAACUUGGAAGGAAGGCACAAAGGGGUAUUGAUUGUGGUAUCCCAACACAAAGCGUAACAUUUACAAAUGGUGUUUAAACCAGGUCAUAAAGGGCCAAUUUGGACACGAGAGACUGAUUUCUGCGUCACAGAAACAUCCUCAAAGAGUUUGUGCUGAGGAAACUACCCCAUACAGGCUGAUCUGCAAAUGCACGAUGAUUUCCAGUCCCCGCUCGAGGUGGUUGUGAAACGAUGAAUCAUCUGUGAGCACCGUGAGGCUACGAAACUCAAGACUUUAGUGCCUGGUUUACUGAGCACUAC